GACAGCAUUUUAACUUACUUUUCUUGCUUUUUGGACAUCUUAAGAGUGAUCUAAAGCCCAGCCAUGCAUUAAGACCUCAAAUACAAUGCCAAUAAAGUCCUUUUUGUGAACUGUAAUAACAUCAUCUGGGUCAUUUACAUCCAGACAUCGCUUCUGCUUGAGUUUACAGGUCACAGGUGACACUUGGUGUU